AUGGGGAGGAUAUGGAAUGACCCGCUUCAAUGGGUAUUCGAACUAAUUGAUGACAGUACGGGAACCUGGGAUAUUGACACAAUACGUCAGAACUUUCUUGCACCUGAUGCAGAGGCCAUACUCAACGUUCCUAUACGACAUAAUGGUGGAGAAGAUUUCUUUGUGUGGGCCUUUGAAAGAUCCGGCGAGUACACUGUAAAAUCAGCCUAUCGUGCUCUUGUGACUCAGAACAAGCGGCGUGCUCUAGAGGAAGGGACGGUAGUGGGAACCUCAUCUUCGCAAAAACAGUUGUGGGCUACUCUACGGAAAUUCAAAGUGACACCAAGAGUUCAGGUAUUCAUGUGGUGA
rnacentral:rRNA from 1 species